GACUGGAAAGGCGGACGGCAGUA
rnacentral:piRNA from 1 species